rnacentral:rRNA from 1 species
UACGAAUGGGGCAAGCGUUGUUCGGAAUCACUGGGCUUAAAGCGUGCGUAGGCGGAUUUGCAAGUCAGAAGUGAAAUCCCAGGGCUUAACCCUGGAAUUGCUUUUGAAACUGCAAAUCUAGAAGAUUGAAGAGGUUAGCAGAAUUCCGAGUGUAGAGGUGAAAUUCGCAGAUAUUCGGAGGAAUACCAAUGGCGUAGGCAGCUAACUGGGCAAUUUUUGACGCUGAGGCACGAAAGCGUGGGGAGCAAAC